AACGAGGCCGACCUGCGGCUGAGUUACCUGCGGAGGGAUCAUUAACCUUUCAAAUCAGGGUGCGGCGCGGCCCCCGAGGAGCGGAAACAAUCCUUGGGGGGUAUGCGGGGGCUUCGAGCCCCCCAUUUACGCACGCACGACUGCCAUCCUUACUUUACGAGCACCUUCUGUUCUCCCUCGGCGGGGCAACCUGCCGUUGGAACCGAAUAAACUCUUUUUGCAUCUAGCAUUACCUGUUCC
rnacentral:misc_RNA from 1 species